rnacentral:rRNA from 1 species
GGUGCUGCAUGGCUGUCGUCAGCUCGUGUUGUGAAAUGUUGGGUUAAGUCCCGCAACGAGCGCAACCCUUAUCCUUUGUUGCCAGCGGUCCGGCCGGGAACUCAAAGGAGACUGCCAGUGAUAAACUGGAGGAAGGUGGGGAUGACGUCAAGUCAUCAUGGCCCUUACGACCAGGGCUACACACGUGCUACAAUGGCGCAUACAAAGAGAAGCGACCUCGCGAGAGCAAGCGGACCUCAUAAAGUGCGUCGUAGUCCGGAUUGGAGUCUGCAACUCGACUCCAUGAAGUCGGAAUCGCUAGUAAUCGUGGAUCAGAAUGCCACGGUGAAUACGUUCCCGGGCCUUGUACACACCGCCCGUCACACCAUGGGAGUGGGUUGCAAAAGAAGUAGGUAGCUUAACCUUCGGGAGGGCGCUUACCACUUUGUGAUUCAUGACUGGGGUGAAGUCGUAACAAGGUAACCGUAGGGGAACCUGCGGUUGGAUCACCUCCUU